rnacentral:rRNA from 1 species
GUCCUUUUGUAUUUAAUUUAAGGUCUGACCUGCCCAGUGAUUUUAAUUUAACGGCCGCGGUAUACUGACCGUGCAAAGGUAGCAUAAUCAUUAGUCUUUUAAUAGAGGGCUGGAAUGAAAGGUUUAACGAGGAAUAAGCUGUCUCAUUUUAUUUGUUUUAAAAUUUAAUUUCUUAGUUAAAAAGCUAAGAUAAUAUUGGAAGACGAGAAGACCCUAUAGAUCUUUAUAUAAUUUUUUUAAUUUAAAAUUAUAUUAUUUUAAUUAUAUAUUAUUAUAUUUUGUUGGGGUGACAAAAAUAUAUAAAUAACUUUUUUAUUUCAAAAACAUUGAUUAAUGAUUAAAUGAUCCAAUAAUAUUGAUUACUAGAUUAAGUUACCUUAGGGAUAACAGCGUAAUCCUCCUUGGAAGUUCUUAUUUACAGGAUGGGCUUGCGACCUCGAUGUUGGAUUAAGAUAAUAGCUAGGUGUAGCCGCUUAGUAUAUAGGUCUGUUCGACCUUUAAAUUCUU